rnacentral:lncRNA from 1 species
CCCAGCUGGUAGCUCCACCCUUGAGCCCAGAAUAACAACAACAAAAGGAUCAAUCUGUACACACUGUUCUUGAUGGUUUUUGCAGCUUAUUCUCUUGUGCCUGUUUAAAUAUCAGUGAAGUAACCAUUUGUUAAAUGGCUAGAUAUAGACUAGCAUUCCAUCAUGUUUACAUUACCAGUGGCUGGAUUUCUUUUCAUAGUAUUUUUAGGUUUCAAGUUGCAUGAAACUUAAAAGGUCUAUG